UACGGGGGGGGCAAGCGUUGUUCGGAAUUACUGGGCGUAAAGGGCCAGUAGGCGGCCAACUAAGUCCGACGUGAAAUCCCAAGGCUUAACCUUGGAACUGCGUCGGAUACUGGAUGGCUUGAAUUCGGGAGAGGGAUGCAGAAUUCCAGGUGUAGCGGUGAAAUGCGUAGAUAUCCGGAAGAACACCGGUGGCGAAGGCGGCCUGCUGGGCAGUAGCUGACGCUGAGGCGCGACAGCGUGGGGAGCAAACAGG
rnacentral:rRNA from 1 species